rnacentral:rRNA from 1 species
CGUAGGUGGCAAGCGUUGUCCGGAUUUAUUGGGUUUAAAGGGUGCGUAGGCGGCCCUGUAAGUCAGUGGUGAAAUAUCUCAGCUUAACUGAGAGGGUGCCAUUGAUACUGCGGGGCUUGAGUACAGAUGAGGUAGGCGGAAUUGACGGUGUAGCGGUGAAAUGCAUAGAUAUCGUCAAGAACACCGAUAGCGAAGGCAGCUUACCAAGCUGUAACUGACGCUGAGGCACGAAAGUGUGGGGAUCAAACAGGAUUAGAUACCCUGGUAGUCCACACUGUAAACGUUGAUGACUCGAUGUUGGCGAUACACAGCCAGCGUCCAAGAGCAAUCGUUAAGUCAUCCACCUGGGGAGUACGCCGGCAACGGUG